UCCCUUUUCUUCUCUCUCUCUUUCCCGAUCCUCUCUCUUCUCUCAAUCCAAAAGGCGAUGGAAGCCGAUUCAUCUUGAAACCAGAAAAAUCAAUCGAUUCACCUCGUUUUCCAUGGCCGAUGCUCUCAGUGCUCGUCGACGGUGGUUGCGGCGAGGAUGUUGGCCAGAAUCUCGCAAUCUAACACCGUGGGAAGCGAAGCCAUCCCGUUCGGAUCGUUGGAGUGGAUCACUUACGCCAGAAUUAUGUCUGGUCUCACUUUGGGUCUCAUGUCUCUAGGUCUCGUUGAGCUCGAGAUCCUCCAACGCAGUGGUACUCCAAAAGAGAAGAAACAAUCAGGUAAUCGAUUCUUAGUAAUUGCUGCUUGAUUCAAUCAAUUGAUUCGUAUUUUGGUUUGAAUUUGGUUGUGACUGGUUUAUUUGGUUAGAAUUUGGUUGUGAACGUUAUGAUGCAACUGAAUCUGAAACUUUAAGUGAACCUUUGUUAGGAAGUAGCGAACCUUUGUUAGGAAAUAGUAGAGAUGGGUACAAUGAGGUUAGUGUUUCAGUGUGUGUUUGUUUUUGAACAGAGAUGAGAAGAGGAACCCUUUUUUGUAUUAUUAUCUGUUGUGUGUCUCUUAGAAGCGUACUAUGGAGGAUUUUUGGGAAGAAGAACGGAAGAGACAGCAAGUUCACUGGACGUUAAUCUUUUCUCAGUUGAUUGCACAAUGGGCUCAGUGGAUAGUCUUGUUGAUCACGAGAGAACCCAAUGCAGAACAAGCCAACCACUUACAACAAUGCACUUCUCGUUGGACUUUGUCUAGCCUUGUCACUACCUCUUCUGCUUUACAAUCGUUGAAGUGAAGCUAUUUUUUAUUGAAAUCACAUUGCUUUUGUUUUACGACAUGUCCACUUUGAAACAUUUCAUCUUUUUUUUUUUUCUAUGUUGUGUUCUUGUUGAAGCAUGUUUCUGAUUAAUCAAGC